rnacentral:rRNA from 1 species
CGAACGGGUGAGUAACGCGUGAGUAACCUGCCCUAGAGUGGGGGACAACAGUUGGAAACGACUGCUAAUACCGCAUAAGACCACAGUACUGCAUGGUACAGUGGUAAAAACUCCGGUGGUAUGAGAUGGACCCGCGUCUGAUUAGGUAGUUGGUGAGGUAACGGCCCACCAAGCCGACGAUCAGUAGCCGACCUGAGAGGGUGACCGGCCACAUUGGGACUGAGACACGGCCCAG